rnacentral:tRNA from 1 species
AGGGUAAUAGCUCAGUGGUAGAGCACAUCCUUGGCAUGCACGAAGUCCUGGGUUCAAUCCCUAGUACCUCCA